rnacentral:pre_miRNA from 1 species
AAUGAGAUUGCUGGGUUAUAUGGUAAGUAUGUAUCUAACUUCAUGAGAAGCUGCUGGAGAAUUUUCUAAAGUGGUUGUACCAUGCUGCAUUCCUCCAGCAGU